rnacentral:SRP_RNA from 1 species
UUCAAACACAUUGGUGCCUGCUUGUCCCAGCCACUGGGGAGACUGAAGUGGGAGGAUCACUUGAGUCCAGGAGUCCUGGGCUGUAGUGCACUUUGCUGAUGAGGUGUCUUCACUAAGUUUGGCGUCAGUAUGGUGAGCUCCUGGAAGCUGGGACCGCCAGGUUGCUGCCUAAGCAGGGGUGAACCAGCCCAGGUCAGAAGUGACGCAGAUCAGAACUUCCAUGUUGAUUAGUAGUGGGAUUGUACCUGUGAAUAGCCAUUAUAUUCCUGCCUGGGCAACAUAGUGAGACUCCCAUCUCU